CCCGGCAGGCGUGGCGCGGGCCCGCCUCUUCCCCUGGCGUCCUGCGCGGUGAUUGGCCCCUCGGGCGUCCUGGGCGGUAGCGGGCGCGCGGCGCGGGCAUUUGAACGGUAACGGCCGCGCGGGGCGGUGAGGGGUGAAGUGGGUAUCAGGGUUUGGAGGGAGUUGUGUCUGUCUCUCUCCCUCGGGUGUAGCUGCCGGGUCCUCCCCCACCCUAUUCCUCCCGUCUCCGUGGGUGCCUUCUUCCCCUCCGUCGUUGGCGCCGUCCCGCCCCCCCCGAGUGCCCUCCCCGGGAGCGCCCCCCGCGAUCGCGCCCCCCCUCCCCGCAGCCCCGGUGCGGAGCUGCAGCAAAGGUACUUCCCUUCCGACGAGCCUGCUGGAGUGGAAAAGCACAAACGGUGGCUACGCUUUGUCCUUGCAGGCGCGGAGCGGAAUAGCGAGGUCCCUCUUCCUCUCAGAAUGGCUGCAGGUGGCUAUGAGGAAAUCCUCAAGUACUACGAAUUGCGUGAAACAAUUGGGACAGACUCACUGUUACCCCGGAAUCUACAGGCCGUGUUUCAAGCGUGUCUCUCAGGGGACAGAACGCUGUGAGUGGAGGUCGGUAGCAGCGAUCGCUUCUCCCUCUAGCGAAGAUGCUGCGCGCUGUGUGCGCUACGGACUCCAGCGUAACUGAGACUGUAGGCCAGAAAGCGUGACAUCGCUCUUAAGCGUCUCUUGUUUGAAGUCUAGGUGGGUUUGCAAAGGUAAAACUUGCGGAACAUCUUCUCACCGGUGAAAAAGUUGCACUAAAAAUCACGGAUAAACUUGCUCUAGGGGUAAGCCAAAAGAUACUUAACAGUCGGUAGCGUCUUCUGCUGUUCCUGUGGCGUUCUCGAGAACAGAGGGGCGCGACACGUCAGUGCCGCCUGCUUGUCCUGUUGGUUAUCGACUGAUGCUGUAGACUGGGAAGAGCGUUAAUAGAAGACCACAAAUCUUGUGCUCUGUUGUGGAGAGGGCAACCUUCUCUGGCUGUAAAAUUGAGGAAGUUAAAGAUGAUUACAGUAAUUGAAACAGAAUGCUGGUGAGGAUGCUAACUAUUUUACACCUGCCCCUCUGGGUUUUGCUGCUCGGUGUGCCAGAACUGUAGGGCAGUAACAGCAGAGCUGUUGCUGGAUUGAAUCUGAGCAGCUGAAUUGUAUGCUGUCAUCUCCGUGCUGUGAAAUUGUGUGUCUCCCAAUAGCCUGACGCUUGCUGUGACAUCCGGGCUGUCCAGGUAGUCGGCAAUUUCAUACCUUGCUGUUGCCGUCUCUUGGGAUGAUUUGCCUCGUGUUAAGGUAGAAAUUGAGGCCACAAAGGACUUAGGUCACCAGCAUAUUUGCCAGUUGUAUCACGUGAUAGAGACAUCCAGGAAAAUAUUCAUGGUCUUAGAGUACUGUCCUGGAGGAGAGCUGCUUGAUGACGUAAUUUCUAAGGACCGCCUUUCGGAAGAGGAAGCUCGUGUACUUUGUCGGCAGAUUGUUUCAGCAGUUGCUUACGUUCACAGUCGGGGAUACGCCCACAGGGACCUCAAACCGAGCUCUUGACCUGUCUUCUUCUGAAAGAGCGUUAUUUCUACUUGCUACUGUGCUCCUCAGCUGAGCUGGAUGCGGCUAUAUCUGAGGAAGGACCCUCCUCUGAAGGAGAAGCAGAACAACACGCUCCAGCUGGGAACGGAGCAGAGACACGGGAAAAUCUGCUGAUUGAUGAGGAACGUAACUUGAAGCUGAUAGACUUUGGACUUUGUGCAAAGCCAAAGGGUGGCCUUGAUUACCAUCUGAGCACGUGCUGCGGAAGCCCGGCUUAUGCAGCACCGGAGCUGAUUCAGGGCAAGGCAUAUAUUGGCUCAGAGGUGGUUCUCAGAAGCCGUGUGACUAGCCUCAACGGUCACAGCCUGGAAUAGCACAUGGUGCUCUUGGCCACGUACCAUGGAGCUGGCUAGUUUGUCCCGACCAACCCUUCCCUGUCAUCUCCGUUUGGUGCUGCGUAUUUUAGUGCCCUACAAAAGAGUCACCGAAAGUCCUUCCUCCUACUGCACGUUCAAGCAAGGAUUUGUUCUGUUAAUUAUCCAACUCUUGUUGCAAAUUUUUUGUGCAGUCUCAGUGUCUUGGAUGCUUUACCAGGCCUGUCUUUAGCUUGAAAUUCGUGUCUGAAAACUUGCUCUCUUUGUACGGCGCAGUGUCGUACAAUUUGAGAGAAGAAAAAAUGUGGAGGUUGCCCAGCUUGGAUUCCACGUCUAGAACAGGAGGACCUGCUACUUGCCUUUGUGAAUCCAUCCAAAGCGCUGUAAUUGCAAUCCCCUCAGACCUCCUAAAUUGCUGUGCUGUUGGACAGAGUCAGUCUUUUUUCUUCUGACGUACCUUUGCACCACUCUC